rnacentral:rRNA from 1 species
GACGAACGCUGGCGGCGUGCUUAACACAUGCGAGUCGAGCGGAAAGGCCCUUCGGGGUACUCGAGCGGCGAACGGGUGAGUAACACGUGAGUAAUCUGCCCUUGACUCUGGGAUAGCUCCGGGAAACCGGGAUUAAUACCGGAUAUGACCAUCUUAGGCAUCUUUGGUGGUGGAAAGUUUUUCGGUCAGGGAUGUGCUCGCGGCCUAUCAGCUUGUUGGUGGGGUAAUGGCCUACCAAGGCGACGACGGGUAGCCGGCCUGAGAGGGCGACCGGCCACACUGGGACUGAGACACGGCCCAGACUCCUACGGGAGGCAGCAGUGGGGAAUAUUGCGCAAUGGGGGAAACCCUGACGCAGCGACGCCGCGUGCGGGAUGAAGGCCUUCGGGUUGUAAACCGCUUUCAGCAGGGACGAAGCGAAAGUGACGGUACCUGCAGAAGAAGCGCCGGCUAACUACGUGCCAGCAGCCGCGGUAACACGUAGGGCGCGAGCGUUGUCCGGAAUUAUUGGGCGUAAAGAGCUCGUAGGCGGCCUGUUGCGUCCGCUGUGAAAGCCCGGGGCUUAACCCCGGGUCGGCAGUGGAUACGGGCAGGCUAGAGGUAGGUAGGGGAGAAUGGAAUUCCCGGUGUAGCGGUGAAAUGCGCAGAUAUCGGGAGGAACACCGGUGGCGAAGGCGGUUCUCUGGGCCUUACCUGACGCUGAGGAGCGAAAGCGUGGGGAGCGAACAGGAUUAGAUACCCUGGUAGUCCACGCCGUAAACGUUGGGCGCUAGGUGUGGGAUCCUUCCACGGAUUCCGUGCCGCAGCUAACGCAUUAAGCGCCCCGCCUGGGGAGUACGGCCGCAAGGCUA